CUCGCUGCGAUCUAUUGAA
rnacentral:piRNA from 1 species